UACGUAGGGCGCAAGCGUUGUCCGGAAUUAUUGGGCGUAAAGAGCUCGUAGGCGGCUUGUCACGUCGGGUGUGAAAGCCCGGGGCUUAACCCCGGGUCUGCAUUCGAUACGGGCAGGCUAGAGUUCGGCAGGGGAGACUGGAAUUCCUGGUGUAGCGGUGAAAUGCGCAGAUAUCUGGAGGAACACCGGUGGCGAAGGCGGGUCUCUGGGACGGUACUGACGCUGAGACGCGAAAGCGUGGGGAGCGAACAGG
rnacentral:rRNA from 1 species